GACGAACGCUGGCGGCGUGCUUAACACAUGCAAGUCGAACGGAAAGGCCCUGCUUUUGUGGGGUGCUCGAGUGGCGAACGGGUGAGUAACACGUGAGUAACCUGCCCUUGACUUUGGGAUAACUUCAUGAAACUGGGGCUAAUACCGGAUAGGAGCUCCUGCUGCAUGGUGGGGGUUGGAAAGUUUCGGCGGUUGGGGAUGGACUCGCGGCUUAUCAGCUUGUUGGUGGGGUAGUGGCUUACCAAGGCUUUGACGGGUAGCCGGCCUGAGAGGGUGACCGGCCACAUUGGGACUGAGCUACGGCCCAGACUACUACGGGAGGCAGCAGUGGGGAAUAUUGCACAAUGGGCGGAAGCCUGAUGCAGCAACGCCGCGUGCGGGAUGACGGCCUUCGGGUUGUAAACCGCUUUCGCCUGUGCCGAAGCGUGAGUGACGGUAAUGGGUAAAGAAGCACCGGCUAACUACGUG
rnacentral:rRNA from 1 species